UUUCUGCUUUUAUAGCGCACUCUGUUAUGUGCCUUUUAAAGUUGAUAUUUCUUCCUAUCCACACGCCGAGGUAUUUUACUGCUUCUUUUGGCGUAACUAAAGUUCCCAUGAUAUUAAACUGUACGUCCGGAGGUUUUCUUCUGCAAUUUAGAAGUACUGCUUCUGUUUUAUCGGGUGCUAAUUUUAGCUUUUUGCUGUACAUCCAGUGUACAAUUUUGUCUAGAGUAUCAUUUGUUUUUUCUACUAAAUCCUCUAUGGUUUUUGCAGAUACAAUCACAGCCAAAUCAUCGGCAUAUCCCACGAGCUCGACAUCUUCCGCAACCGACAGUCUCAGGACACUGUCAUACAUUAUAUUCCAUAGCAGUGGUGCGAGCACCGACCCCUGUGGAACCCCGCUGUUUACUUCUAGUAGUUUACCAUGUUCGGUUUAGGAAGAAGAAUCAGUCGUGCUGUUUUCCAGCAAUCCGGAAAGGAUUUUUUCCUUAGACAGGUGUUGUAUACAUUUAGUAGUUUCUUUGUUUCAUUUUCCGCUAUAAUUUUAAUAAUUUCUGCAGGAAUACCAUCUGGUCCAGUGGCUUUACCAGGUUUCAGGCGUUUGGCGGCAAUUAGUAGUUCUUCCAGUGUGAAAUUUUUUAUGGGGUUCUUUAUUGGUUCGGGCCAUACUACUUCAGGAUGGCGCGGAAACAGAUGCACUACAACGUUUUCCAGUUCAUCCUCACCGUUUCCCCAGACGUCGUCAUCAAUUGAGGCACAUAAUUCCUGCCACUUUGAAUGUUUUGAGAUUUUUAUUUCCUUUCGUAGUUUAUCCCUUGCUAUUUUUAGUGUGUUUACCUUAGUUUCUAGGUUUUGUGACAAUGUUGUUUUAGGUCGAGCUCUUGUUACAGCUCGUCUGGCUUUGAUAGAUUCUUUCCGGAGUUGGGCAAUACGAUCGUUCCACCAGUAGCAGGGUCUUCGUUUUGGUGAAAAAGAUUUCUUUAACAUCGCAGCGUUGCAUGAUUUUUCAAGACUGUCUUUUAGUUGCUCGGGCGAGUUUAUACUGCCACACUUAUUAAACCUUUUUAGGAGUUUCGCCUUAUUCAAUGAUUUUAGGUUCCACGCUGGGGGUUGGUUUGAAUUAUACUGAUGGCUAUCUGGUAAAUUUGUUUCCCAUUUGAAAGAAAUGAUUUUGUGGUCGCUGAGGGAUUCUGUAUCCA